rnacentral:lncRNA from 1 species
AUUUCUGAUGCGAAAUGGGUUUUGUUGGGUUUACACAUUGGUAUAUGUGUAAUUUAUGGAUUAAUUAGAGAGCGGAUGGGUUCCGUCGCGAAUCCGUGACCAAAUCGGAUGAAUCAACAUUGUAGUUUUGAUGCCCCCGACGUGCUGAACGCAAUGGUGCUGUCGGAUCGAAAAUUCGACGGACGGAUCUCCGGGAAUUACGAGAUUUUCGCUGAGGGGUCAAAGUGGCAAAACGGAUAAAUCGCGAAGA